GACGAACGCUGGCGGCGUGCUUAACACAUGCAAGUCGAACGGAAAGGCCCUGCUUUUGUGGGGUGCUCGAGUGGCGAACGGGUGAGUAACACGUGAGUAACCUGCCCUUGACUUUGGGAUAACUUCAGGAAACUGGGGCUAAUACCGGAUAGGAGCUCCUGCUGCAUGGUGGGGGUUGGAAAGUUUCGGCGGUUGGGGAUGGACUCGCGGCUUAUCAGCUUGUUGGUGGGGUAGUGGCUUACCAAGGCUUUGACGGGUAGCCGGCCUGAGAGGGUGACCGGCCACAUUGGGACUGAGAUACGGCCCAGACUCCUACGGGAGGCAGCAGUGGGGAAUAUUGCACAAUGGGCGGAAGCCUGAUGCAGCAACGCCGCGUGCGGGAUGAUGGCCUUCGGGUUGUAAACCGCUUUCGCCUGUGACGAAGCGUGAGUGACGGCAAUGGGUAAAGAAGCACCGGCUAACUACGUG
rnacentral:rRNA from 1 species